GAAAAUCUCCGAAUUGAGGGGGGAUUAAAGCGGGGACCCGAUCCCCAUUUCUUUAAAAAAUAAUUUCUAAAUAUUUCAAUUCCUUUUUUUUAAAAUAAUAAUUCUAACAACCUCCAUAUUUAGAAAUAAAAUUACAAAUGAUCAAAUUUCAUAUUAGAAAUAAAAUUACAAGUGAUCAAAAUUUUAACAACUUCCACAUAAAUAAAAACAUAAUAAUUCUAAACCUUCAACAUAAUUACAAAUGAUCAAAUUUUAUAUGACAAAUUAAAAUAAUUUUAAGUCUUCAACAUAAACUUAUAGCUAUCACCAUUGAUGCACGUUCUAAGAUUCUUCAUAUACCUAUAACAACAUAAACAAAAAAUAAAUAAAUAAAUAAAUACAUGUUUUAACAAUUCAACUUAAUAAAUACUUGACAAAAUAAUAUAAAUUAAAACUAUAUACCUCUAUCUUUUAAGUGUAUCAUAAAAAAAUGAAAAAUGAAAAAUGAAAAUAUAAGACAGUAGAAAAAUGAAAAAGUAGGGAAAAUCUUGUACAAGAAUGCUUAUGGGUGACCCCAUUUAUUUUCUUUUAGUUCAAGCUGGUCUAUGUUAAAAAGUUUCCACAUUGGUUGGUCUAUGGAUGAGCAUCUAUCCAACAGUUUCCCCCUUUUCCCUGUUAAGAAUAUGUUAUAAUUACUAUUUAUUAUGUGAAAUAGUUUGAUGGAACUCUAAUGUCUAAUAUGUUAAAAAUCAGAUUGCAUAGCUUAAUUUCCAACCUCAUGAUUUUCUCCAACUUGUCUAUUACUUCUGCAGCAAAAGAAUAGGAUAUAGAAACAAAGGAUUCCAAAAUUUCAAGAAAACCAAACAUAGUCGCAUCAAGUAUCAAUCAACUCCAGGUUCUAAAACUCAAAAUCAUGUGUGUGUAUGUGUGUAUGCUAUAUUCAUAUUUAAAAAAAAAGUAGCAAAUCAAUAAUGAUUUAUUUUAAUAUAAUAUUAAGGACAUAUGGUAAAAUCUUCCAUUUGAAGUAAACAAAAAAUGCAAGUGACAGUGGCAGUGUAACAUGUUAAGGCAGAAACAGAGAACAAUUAUCAAGGAAAUGAGAUUUUAUAAAUUUGAAUUGAGGAACUUGAAUAGAGAUGUAAAGUCAGCAAAUUAAGAAGGAAAAAGAAACAAAAACUAAAACAAGACUAAAAAGUAUGGAGCCCAACUGAUCUUUAAUUCUUCUUUUCACCUUCAACUUUCUUCUUAAGAUGAUUGAUUGUAUAGGUGAUAAAAUAUUCCAGAUAGCAACACCCAUAAAUAAAAUGUGGCCAACAAUUGCAUUGCAUUGUGAUAACCUUGAAUCCAUUGAGACCCUUCUCCGAAAAUCGCAAUAGGAAACAAAUACAACAACGAGAUUAUAGUAAUCCAUCCGUACAAAUUCAAUCCAUUAAUCCAACCAACAGGUAAGUGCGACUACUUGCACUAGAUAAAUCGAAGCUAGUCCCCAAAGGAAGUGCUAAAAAUGACAGUCAAAUGCAACUCAAUGACUCAUUACUGAUAAACAAACAUACGCACAAAGACACCAUGCCAAAGCGUCAUCUUACAGAUUGAAAAUAUUUUUUAGAUUGUAUUAUCAAUCUUAAUUUCUUUCAAUUAGGUUAAUGUAACUUCAUAUAUUUAUCUCUCAUGCGACCCAAUGAAAUCUCACCUUUAUUAGGCCCAAAGCAUGGUUUUCGGUAACUCAAAUCAUGGCUGCAGCCUCCGUUUCAGUGAGCUCUGCAUGGCUGCAGUUUGUGCUUCAGGCUAUGUGACUGAGAAUGAAAACACACAAAAUGUAAAAUUGACUCAAAUCAAUGAAACCAGAUGCAAUUUGAAAGAAAGAAAGAAAUAAAUAAAAUACGAAAAGCUAAAACCUUGCAGUAGGAGAACCAAUAGCGUGGCUGAGUGUUGGUCGGUGACGAUGAACAGUGGCGACUAACUAGCUGUUAGCGACGGCGGCGGCGACUGACGAGCUGUUAGGGUUUCUUUUGGGGGAACGAUCGAUUCAAUCCAAAUGAAUUGAGGAAUAAUUUUUUUUUGUUUUUAUUUUUGGGUCGGGUUAGGGGGCCUGAAAAAAUCCCCAAAUCCAAACCUGAAAUGUUUUUGCGGCUUAGACCCAUACCUGAAACGGACCUGAAUUCAUUUUAAUAUUUUUCUUGGGCCCCAUACCUGCCCUAAAUUAAUCGGGGCCCCGUGGGUAUUGCUGCCAACUCUAAUUUCUAAUGCUAGGCUGUGAGAAAAAAAGAAUAGGAUAGGAUUAUUUGACUAAAUUAUAUUUUGCUCAAAAUAAGCUAAAAAAGUAGUAAAUUGAAGAAACAAAAAUUAUAAACUAUGUAAUUGUGAUUGUCUUGGAUUGGGUGUGCAACUCUCUUAGAUUCACACUCAAUACAUCACCAUGGGUUUAAUAUUCCUUUUUAGUUUCAACUAAGUUAUGAGGAGUAUUUCUACUCCUCAUAAUCUUCAGUCUAGUAAACAUGGUAUCAAGCACUCAUUGUGUCAAAGGGUAAUGAUCUUCUGCUAAAUGCGAUGUAAAGAGCAUGUUGUGCUAGAUGAUAAUAAUCAUUCUAUUGAAAAAAUGACAAGACCAUCCACUAAAUAGCUUAGAUGCAUUCUCUGUCGACAAUGAGUCAAGAUGACCCACAAAAUAUUAGAGGAAAGUUUUCUCUUUAAUAAAUAUGGCGCUAAGUGCUCAUCGUGCCAAACAGUAAUGAUCUUUCACUAGGGAGCCAAUAAACCGUGCAAAAUCUAAUUAAGAUACACUGUCUGUCGACAAUUAGUCAAAAGAACCACUUAAAUUAGAGAGAUAGAGUAAAUAAACUUACCAAAUUAAGCUCAUGGACCAUGUUGAGGCUUCACCUUCAAUAUAAGCUUGAAGUUAAAUUAGCUACUCAUUUUUUAACUAGGGAAAAAAUGAAAUUUUUAUUAAAAUACAUGGAAAAUAUAAGAUGGAGAGAGAAUUACAGAAAAUGAAGCUAAAAAAUGAAUUAAGAUUUGUUAAAUUGGGGGUGGGGGAGUCUCUUAUUUAUAUAUACAAUGGAUAAAUCAUGGGCGUCGAAUGAAAACAACUCAGACGCUCAGGAUUGCACCGCGUGGCAAGUUUUGAUUGGCUGGAACACAUCAUCAAUCAACGCCACAUUAGUAUUUCAGUUUAAUAAUAUGUUGUCACAUCGUCGGUCAAUGCCACGUCAUUGUACUAUAUAUGUGAACAAUAUCGUAUAUGUGAACAGUACCGUACAUGUAAACAAUACCACAGACCCUAAGGUCACUACUACAAAAAAGAAAAAUAAUGACCCAUAUGUUAUGAUAGUUUUUAUUAACAAUCAUCAUUAAAAAUAAGGAAAUUAUCAUUGCACCACCUUUAUUUUGCCUUAUGUUCAUCUAACACCACCACAAAAUUCUAACAUGUUCUUUGCACCACCUUUCUUUUUAAAUUUGUAUCAAUUAGCCACUUUUGCACUAACACCGUUAAAUAAUUUAAACAGGAUGAUAAUUUUACCUCUAAAUAAAUUGAAAGACCAUUUUAUUUUAUAAAAGCUAUGAAAAAUAAAAAAAUUAUAAUUAUAAAAAUACCCCUAAAUUUAAUAAAAAAUAAAUCCCAAACAAAGGUGUUCAGCUGAUUUUUAUUAAAUUUUGAUUUUGUAAAAUUUUAAU
rnacentral:lncRNA from 1 species